rnacentral:tRNA from 1 species
GCAGUGGUGACUCAGUGGUAGGAUUCUCGCCUUCCAUGCAGGAGACCCGGGUUCGAUUCCUGGCCAAUGCG